rnacentral:RNase_P_RNA from 1 species
GUCGCGUGCCGGGCGACCGCUCCGCUAUCUGGCGGGGAGGAAAGUCCGAGCACCGCAGGGCACGGUGGUGGGUAACGCCCACCCCCCGGCCGAGAGCCGGGGCGGGAAAGUGCCACAGAAAACACACCGCCUAAGCCGCCCGCAAGGACGGCCGGCAAGGGUGAAAAGGUGCGGUAAGAGCGCACCGGGCCGACGGCGACGCCGGCCGCAUGGCAAACCCCACCGGGUGCAAGGCCAAAUAGGAGGCCAGGGGCUGCCCGCCCCGCAUCUGUUCAGGAGCCUCGGGUAGGCCGCUGGAGCCGGCUGGCAACAGCCGGCCAAGAUAAAUGGUCGCCGCCCGAAAGGGACACAGAACUCGGCUUACAGGCACGCGACAACG